AAACCAAAACAAUAGGCGGGCUUCUUUAUUUCUGUUGGCCGGACAAACCAAACCCCCCAAAAUUAACCCCCAAAACAAACCCCCCAAACAAAAUCCUCUCCAAUCUCACUCGAGUCUCCAGUACUCUCACGCUAUUGUUACUCUUCUCUCCUCUCCUCUCUCACGCUGCAAAUCCUUUCGUCUCUCACGCUGCGAAUCCUUAAUAUCAAUCAAGGAAAAAUUUGUAUCUUUAUCCUAAUUCAUGUCCGAAUAUUUCGAUUAGGGCUUUGUGUUCUUAUUUUGUGCUCUUUAGAGCUUAAAUUUUUUAGGGUUUUGUAUCUUUUUUUGUGUUUUUUUCUUUGUUCUUAUUUUGUGUCUUAAUUUGUUCGAUUAGGGUAAGAUUUUGAGAGUUAUUAAUGUUGCUCUGUAUCCACUAUGUUAGUUUGUUCAAUUUUCUGUCUUGUCUUUCUCUAUAUGUACCAUGUUAGAUUGUACGUUUUUAUUGAAUAAUUUGAUUAAAAUGUACUGUAAAUGUGGUGAUGAUAUAUGUUGUUGUCCGCCAACUGUUUGAUGAAAUAUGAGAGAUGUGAAAUAAUGUAGUUUCUGGGUAUGUUAAGUUGGGGAUGGUGGGUGCUGCUAGGAGGUUGUUUGAUAGAAUGCCGCUGAGGGAUGUUGUGUGGUGGAAUAGUAUGGUUGUUGGGUAUGUCAAGAGUUGGGAGUUUGGUGAGUAUGUGAGGAUUUUUAAGGAGUUGAGGAGGUCGUCGAUUGGGUUUAAUGAGUUAGUUUUUAUGGGGUUUUGACUAUUUGUGUCAGAAGUAAGGAUUUGGGUAAGCAGGUUCAUUGUGGGGUUUUGGUUUAUGGGUUUCUUUGUCGAAUUUGGUAAGGAUUUAUGGUAACAAUGUUACAAGCGCUAAUGUACAGGCUACUUUACCGGUCCAGACACCAGACUUCCGAAAGUAGUGUAGAGGCAUCUCCAGAUAUGAGUUUGAAGACAUUCUACUGGAUAUGAAUAUGCAGAUAUGCUCAGCCGUCCAGUAAGUCUCCAGGCACUUACUCACACCUAUAUAUAAUAAGUGGCAGAAGCCGUAACAAGGGAGCCAUGGGAUGGACAUUAUUGGACCUCUGCAGCAAGCUAACACUUCCUAUGGUGGCAAGUAUGAGACCAUUAACUUGGAUGAAAAUUUAAGAGUGCAAUUUUAUUAUAUCAGCUGGAAAUACUUUUAGUCAUUUUACAGCGAGGAGGAUGGGAAGGCAGCUGCUCAACAUAGUGAUGAAAAUGAAGAUUUUUAGUCACUUUUUAUUUUUAAAUCUUUAUCUAUGCUUGCUUUUGGAUUGACUUUUGUAUGGAUAGUUUAUAAGUUGGCACCUUAGUCUGGUUUCUAUUUAUCUUUCAAUUUGAUGACUCGGUUUGUACUUUGCAUUCUAUUUUUGUCAAUUUCAAGUUAAGAAAAUUUUCAA